UCAAACUAAAACCCUAAAUCAAAACACGCGUAGAUGUUUCUGUUCCUUUUCCUACAAUCUUCUUUCCCCACCCCUUCAUCCGCUCUUUUUGCUGAACAUCAAUUAAUCAAAGAUUGAUACAAAUUCUGGACUUUCCAUAAUUUUCAAAUCAGUUUCCUUUUAAUCUUAAUUCCAAUUACAAACCCUAUGCCAAACGAUUUCACCAUCAGUCUUUCUGUCAAUUGUUUUCUUCAAACCUAGAAUUGAUUGUUAUUUGUUGAGGCUUGAUCUAGGGCUCGAAUAGAUGAUCCAGUUCGACUAACAGAAGCUUAAGGAAGCCGGUAGUGUGUCCAUCAGAGUUUAGAAGCCCUAGAUGUGCUGCUGCUGAUUCUACAUAUGGAGAAGUAUUCAGGGAAGCAUGAAGACAUGGCUCUCGAGGAUAUGUAUGCCAAAGAUGACGAUUUUGAUGACAGUGAUUGGGAUUUCUUAGAUUGAAUCAUAUAACAGUUGCCACAUGGUUUUGUGUUAACUCAGUCGACACGGCCCGUUUCAACAUAAAAACAUGCAAAUUCAGUUUGGUUUAGAUGGUCACGUUAACAGAGUCUUGCGAAUUGGUUUGGUUUUGAGUGGUUUAAUGAUUUGUCGAGAUGGUCAGUGUUUUACUGUUCUACAGGACAGUAUUCGUUGGCUCAGAUCUCUACCUCAACACGAACAAUGCCAUACGGACUAAAGUCUCGUAGGUUAAAAGCCGUUAGUAAGCUGGUGAUCAAAAGUGUGUACAAAUGGGAGCCUGUAUUGAAGAUAUAUAGUGAUGCUCAGACAUUCGGACUAAAGUCUUGUGCACACUUUUGAAGAUAUAUAGUGUGUCCAUAUGGCAGAUGGCUGCCCAACCUUCAAGUAGGAAGCAACUCAAUCCCAAACCAGAUUUGGCUUCAAUAGAAAAUGGCCACACUACUGAUAAAACUAUAGCUAAUGGUGAUGUCACCAGUGAAAGCGAGAUUGAAGCUGAUUCACUCGAGUUACAUGAAGAACCAAUCAUCGAAAAUGCAAGUAUAGCACUUGCUUGUGAUGAUGGUUGCGUGAGAAUAUAUAACACUUCAAGUUCAGAUGGAUUCACCUACCAUAAAUCAUUGCCUAGGGUCGGUGGUCGUGUAUUAAGCGUCACUUGGAGUACAGAUGCAAAAAGGAUAUACUCAGGCAGUAGUGACGGGUUCAUAAGAUGCUGGUAUGUUAAACUGUCUCAUGAAGUUCACAGAAUAACUAUUGGUCUUGGAGGUUUAGGUGUGGGACCCUUGUGAGUGCAGAUAGUAGCGGUAGCGUUCAGUUUUGGGACAGUUCACACGGAACUCUAUUGCAAGCACAUUCUUGCCAUAAAGGCGAUGUCAACGCUUUAGCAGCCAGCCCUAGCCAUACAAGGGUGUUUUCUGCUGGAUCAGAUGGUCAGGUACUUAAUUUCUUUUGUUUUCAAAUAUGUGGAGUGUUUAUUUAUUAUUUUUUGGAGUAAAAUGUCAUUUUUGUCCCUGAGGUUUGGACAGUUUUGCGACUUUCAUCCAAAAGUUUGUUUUUUCUGCAUCUGUAUUGAAGAUAUAUAGUGUGAAGUCGUUAGUAAUGCCACCCUGGCAGUUUCUAGGUUAGAAGCCACGUUUCCCGACUUGGCUAGACAAGCAGCGGAAGGUGGGACCCAACCUGCUCUAAAAUCCCAUCCUUAUGCUCCAUUUGAUGCAUCAGUUUCAUUAGUUUCAUUACAGAAAAAUUAACGCCCGUUAGCCUUAACACUCAAAGGUGUAAAAUUUGAAACCGUAGAACCUGAAUUGACCAUGCCCCACCAUCAAGAGGAGUUGAUGCCGAGAUCAAGAAAUGGCAAAGAUCGUUGACCAGAUCCAAGAAAGUACAUGCCAAACCGAAAAAGUCGAUCAAGCGUACGGAGAUCACAAACGUACAAAAAAUCUCGACUCAACUUUUGAAACUGGGAAAGUGGCUGCAACCGAUCAACAUUUCGACAACCUUCAAAACGAGAGAGAUGCUCAAAAACAGGAACUUGCUUCCUCAUCUACAGAUAGCCUCUAUAAGAGAAUAGCUGAAGUGAAAGAAAAAGAUAGACAAAAGGCACUAGAAGAAUAAUACACUGCUGGAUAGUUCACAAGUUUAUAGAAAAAGAAAUAACACUGAUCCCGAAAGUAGAACCCACCUCAGAUCCUACAGGACGGAUCGAUUUUUGGCCAAACCAAUUUUUGUAAUUAGGGUUAACGAAGCUUUUAGCGGAUAAUGCACCGAAGGCUAUGAAAGAGCAAAAAUUUGAAAGUUAUUUUGGUCGUAGAAUUGCUAUUGAUGCUGGCAUGAGCAUCUACCAGUUUCUGAUUGUUGUGGGACGAAGUGGGACUGAAAUGUUGACCAAUGAGGCUGGUGAAGUGACAAGGACCCUCAAAGAUCAAGAUGCCAAUUUGAAUUCAUUGAUAGGAUGGUUAACUUCACUUGAACCAUCAGGCACACCACAACGGAAAACAACGGUACAUCAGAAGGUAUAAAUUUCGCUACGGAACAAGAGUUUGGCGAUUUUGCUUUAUGUGGAGGUUCACGUCACCAUAUAACAGUUUGGACUUAGACGUGAAGCCUAAGUUUGGAAAGGCGUAGAACAAAAAUGAUGAUCUACCUGGGGAUUCAAUGCCAGUAGAUAUUAUAUAUUUGUGUUAAGCCACCCGCGAAAAUCGCGGGAUCUUAGGCUAGUAAUAAUAAUAGAACAAUAAUAGAAUAGUAAAUGAAACUUUAGUUAAUCUAGAGAGACAUAAAAAGUUUUAGUGACUUAAUUAGAACAUUUGUCAAACUUGGUUAGAUUUUUAUAAAGAAAAAACAUCAUAUCACGACUUUGUUA